rnacentral:rRNA from 1 species
GAAAGCGUGGGGAGCGAACAGGAUUAGAUACCCUGGUAGUCCACGCCGUAAACGAUGGAUACUAGCUGUUCGGAGCAAAUCUGAGUGGCUAAGCGAAAGUGAUAAGUAUCCCACCUGGGGAGUACGCACGCAAGUGUGAAACUCAAAGGAAUUGACGGGGGCCCGCACAAGCGGAGGAGCAUGUGGUUUAAUUCGAUGAUACGCGAGGAACCUUACCAGGGCUUAAAUGGGAGACGACAGUUUGGGAAACCAGAUUUUCUUCGGACGUCUUUCAAGGUGCUGCAUGGUUGUCGUCAGCUCGUGCCGUGAGGUGUCAGGUUAAGUCCUAUAACGAGCACAACCCCUAUUGUUAGUUGCCAGCGGGUCAUGCCGGGAACUCUAACAAGACUGCCGGUGCAAACCGUGAGGAAGGUGGGGAUGACGUCAAAUCAUCACGGCCCUUACGUCCUGGGCUACACACGUGCUACAAUGGACGGUACAGAGAGCAGCCACUGCGCAAGCAGGAGCGAAUCUUCAAAGCCGUUCUCAGUUCGGAUCGGAGUCUGCAACUCGACUCCGUGAAGCUGGAUUCGCUAGUAAUCGCAUAUCAGCCAUGAUGCGGUGAAUACGUUCCCGGGCCUUGUACACACCGCCCGUCAAGCCAUGGAAGCUGGGGGUACCUGAAGUCGGUGACCGCAAGGAGCUGCCUAGGGUAAAACUAGUAACUGGGGCUAAGUCGUAACAAGGUUAU